AGUGAACGCUGGCGGUAGGCCUAACACAUGCAAGUCGAACGGCAGCACAGUAAGAGCUUGCUCUUACGGGUGGCGAGUGGCGGACGUGUGAGGAAUACAUCGGAAUCUACUUUUUCGUGGGGGUUAACGUAGGGAAACUUACUCUAAUACCGCAUACGACCUACGGGUGAAAGCAGGGGAUCUUCGGACCUUGCGCGAUUGAAUGAGCCGAUGUCGGAUUAGCUAGUUGGCGGGGUAAAGGCCCACCAAGGCGACGAUCCGUAGCUGGUCUGAGAGGAUGAUCAGCCACACUGGAACUGAGACACGGUCCAGACUCCUACGGGAGGCAGCAGUGGGGAAUAGUGGACAAUGGGCGCAAGCCUGAUCCAGCCAUACCGCGUGGGUGAAGAAGGCCUUCGGGUUGUAAAGCCCUUUUGUUGGGAAAGAAAAGCAGCAGGUUAAUACCCCGCUGUUCUGACGGUACCCAAAGAAUAAGCACCGGCUAACUUCGUG
rnacentral:rRNA from 1 species